UCCGGUGAUCAUACCGCAGGGGAAACACCCGUUCCCAUCCCGAACACGGAAGUUAAGCCCUGCCGGGCCGAUUGUACUGUACGCGAUAAGUGUAUGGGAGAGUAGGUCGUCGCCGGGA
rnacentral:rRNA from 1 species